rnacentral:rRNA from 1 species
UACGUAGGUGGCAAGCGUUGUUCGGAAUUAUUGGGCGUAAAGAGCUCGUAGGCGGUUUGUCGCGUCUGCCGUGAAAGUCCGGGGCUCAACUCCGGGCCUGCAGCCGAUACGGGCAGACUAGAGUUCGGCAGGGGAGACUGGAAUUCCUGGUGUAGCGGUGAAAUGCGCAGAUAUCAGGAGGAACACCGGUGGCGAAGGCGGGUCUCUGGGCCGAUACUGACGCUGAGGAGCGAAAGCGUGGGGAGCGAACAGG